CUGCAAGUUAUAUGGGAUAAUAUAGAUGGAAAUAGAGUAGUGUAGUGGGAGAUCUGCCCAAUCUAGGCUUAUAGCUUGUUUUGUUAACUGAUUAAAUUGAGCUUUCUUUUACCAGGGAAUUGGGUUGGAAACAAAAUAGCAACAAAUACUAAAACCCCAACCACUGGACGCCAGCGGUGCUAGUACACUACAUCUGGAACCAACUUGCAAAUAAGUAAAACCCACGCACCCAGUAUCAGGGCUUCAGAUAGAUGUAACUAGUGUUACAUGGAAGCCUGUGUCAACCAGAGAACAAGCGUUAGGGUGGAUCCGGAAGACAUUUAACUCCUUGCCAACAUCCUCACUUGGCUUUGCCUCCCUUGCUUCCUCUGAUGCUUGUCAUUUUAUGUCCCCCUUUCCUGUCAUUUGAACCAUAGUGGGUCCUUUGAGAGACAUAUAAUCUUUCUCUUCUCUGCAUGUUUAGCUCAUAAUUCUCUCUCCCUGGCACCCCAUUACACCCAAUAGACGUGAGGCGCUUUGGAAGAAAAUUAAAUGCUAGAAAAUUUGGAAGAAAGUUAAAUGACAGAAACUGGUUUCAUUUCUUGCUUUCAAGUGUCAGGGGCAUGGGGCCCUACCCCGUACAGUCUAUUGUAGUCUCAAACUGCAUAGGUAACUGUAUUUAAAAAGCCAUCACGAUAAUCUCUCAGACACCUGAAUUGGGUGGAGUCGAUUCUUUUCUUCCCAAAGAAUAAUGGUGUCUGGGGUGGCCUUUGCUCUACAGGGGACAGCCCAAGGCUCAGGCAGGAGGUAGGUGGCUGUUCUAUUUCUCUGUGAGAGGUGAUGGUGGUGACAGCAUCCAGACACUUCUAUUGAUGCCUAUCAGGACCUGCUUCUAAGCCUCGGGCUUGCAAAGGGUUUCCUGAGUUCUGUGAGGAGGGAUUUGAUGCAGACAUCCCAUUUACGGCUGAGUCUCUCACUGCAUGCUGUCUGGCUGUGGUCUCUGUAUUCGUUCCUGUUUGCUGCAGGAGGAAGUUUUUCUGAGGAUGGAUGGUCUGCCUCACUGGCCUGCUUGCUUCUCUGGCAGGCUUGGCUGGUGUUUUAAGACUUCAUUCAGUUCAAAGUGUGUCCUUCGUCUGUCUCUGGCAGUGCAGCAUUAGCUGGGCUUCUGCCCCAGUGCUGGAAAGUGAGCACAGAUCUCACACAUAAGACACACAUUCUGUGACUGACCCAUAUCCCAGACCCCCAUGAAGGUUCAUAUUCAUCUAAAGAGAAAGAGGGAAAUGACUGCACCGUGGCGCAUGUGUGAAGGGCAGAGGACAGUUUGUAGGAUUGUGUCUCUCCUCCACGCUGGGGUCCUGCGGAUUGAACUCAGGCCACAAGACAGCUACGAAGCCCAGAGGCUGGAUUCCGAGGCACAGAGUGGACCUCCAGAUCCACCCACUGAACUAAGGAUGGAAGAGAGUCUCUUGUCUAUGUUGCAAGAAGGAAAAGGCACCGUUCACAGCCCACUCUUCUGGCGACUCCCUUAGGAAUGGAAGCCUUCCUCUUAUGAACCCUAAUGGGAGCCUCUCUCUGAUUUCUGCCUACAGUUACUAUUUGCCAGGUAUCCAUGUGCUACCGGGACAAGAGACAAGCAAGGGCAAAUUUCUGUCUCUUCCUUGUUAUAUAGCUCUGAACAAGUCGCAAGAACUGACUAUGGGCCGCAUCAGGACUAACAGGGAUGCUGCAUGCAGGCACCGGCACAGGUGCUCAGUUACUUCACCUGUGGGCAUCAUUUAUCCCGUCCGCUCCAAGUCCCAGGAGCAAAGCUCCAAACGAUCUCAGGGACUAUCCUGAAGGCAUCUAGAGAUACGUGUGUUUUGGGAAUUGGUCAUCUCUGCACCUCUGCCUGGGCUCAGGCUGGAUCCAAGGCAGUGGGGUGUGGGCAUGAGCUGGGAGUGGGGGCUGCUGAGGG